AAAACACGAAUGUCAAAAGUCGGAGUGAAUGUGCUUCAUGAAAGUGAAUAUUUUAUGCUCUGCGUAUGAGUACUACACAUAUGACCACCCCGGCACGAAGCCACUUAAGGGCCGAUGUCCACGUAGCGGUUUUGAACUUGCGUGCACGCAGCGUCCACGCAAUUGCGGUAGGAAGUACCCAACAUCAAAUAGAAUCAUGCACACGCACUUGCGUUAACGCGGCGUCGACGCGCGUCUCAUCUGCGGCGAGACCUACCGCAAAGUCACCGCAAUUCCCCACAGGAACGCAGCGUGCACGCGAGUAUUUUUUUACAUUUCUCUAUUCUCUUUCCUUCCAACAAGAUUUCUAAUGGGAAAAUUUGCAGAAAGAAUCUGUCAGAGCUAAAUCAAAACAAACAAAAAUACUUCUAAAAUCAGUUCAUUUUGGUUUCAAAAAUUAGUUUGCAAAUAACAAAAACUUUCAAUUCUAACUUCUUUAAAUGAUAGUACUAGUACGUUCGGAGCGGCAAGUGUUUCUUUCGUUCCUAUGUUAAUACCAGUCGUGAUCAAAACACCUUUGGAAAGAACUGACAAGCAACCAUCCCAGGCUGGCGGAUAGAGUUAAAGUCAACGAAAAUAUGUGCCCGAUAGUGUAGUGACGUUGCUUGUACCAACUUUAUCAGAAUAAAUUGAUUUCCGAACAGACGGUGAUGUGACAGUUUUGGACUGAAUGACGGAGCAAAAUUCAACCAACAAAGUGCAUUCCGCGGGACCCUGUAUGCACCAAGGCAGGCGAUACCAGUUCCGUAAUGGGAAAAAUUAUUAAAUGAAUGUGAACGGAAGGAUGUCGUCAAAUAAUGUGGAUUGCAAUUGCAAAAAAUAAACGAGACCAGAUGAUGAGAUGAUAGCGAAUCACAGUAGGACUCCGGGAUCAGUGCGAUUCUUCUAGUGUUGUGGGCAACGCGAUGUUGCAGUGGAGUGAAAAUUUAUAUUGAGUACCUAAUUUGUAGGAGCGGCUGGAGUAUCUGACCAAAAUGUUUAAUGACUUUUUAUUCCGGAACAAAAUGAUUCGUCCCUAUUUAGCCGAUAAAUGGAACUAAUAAAAAAUUGUACCCCAAACGCAAAAGAUGAUCGAUUCAAGACAAGAACAAUUAAAUGCCUGGAUCCACUAUAAUUCAAGAUUAAUCUCGCCCUAUGAUGUAAUAAAUUUAAGUUGGAAAUAAAGAAUAAAGAACAUUAUGAAAUCG